rnacentral:rRNA from 1 species
CGGUGCUUAUGACGACGAGGUCCCACCUGUUCCCAUUCCGAACACAGAAGUUAAGCUCGUCCGUGUCGAAAGUACUUGGCGGGAGACCGCCUGGGAGGAUAGAUCAGUGCCGGUAUC